UUGUAAGGUAGAGUCAGGGGGACUCAUUAGCCAAGACUUUUCCUUUUCAGAAGCCAAUUCAUUUUGUUGAAUGAUUUUUAUCAAAUGUCUUCUGAAGAAACUGUAAUGUCCAUCCUGAAAUUUUCCUUUGCAGGCACCUAUUGCAAAGAGUGCAUCUGAUUCUAGAUAAUAGUUUCUGAUUUGUGUGAGGGCUACUGUCCUUUCGCAUUUGCUUUCCUAUUGAUUUCCACAGCUAUGUUUGUCCUUCUGUGAGUAUGAGAGCCAUAGCUCUGAUGUGACCCCUGGUAUUGAGUGUACAUCUACAUAUAAGUGGUAUAGAGCUUCCUGGCUCUGAAACAUGUGUGAGUACACAGAGCUUUCUUUAUUUUUUAAUCUCAGGAUCAGUGGAUUUGUUGGGACGGUGCUGACAUAAAAGAUGAAAUGAAACAUCUGUGUCUAACAGCUGCACAAAAUUUGGAUUCAUGCGAACUGCUCUGACAUCACACAUUCUGCAUGUGAGUUCCAUGCGCAGUCUCCGUAUGGUGCUAAUACAAUAACAUGCCUACAAAGUCCCUGUGGUUUAUGGUGUGAUGAACUCCAGAGCUGAGGAAACAAAGCCAGGAAGCCUACACCAUUUGCUGAAUGGAGCUGACUUUGGACUCAUUUGGAAGCAGUGCAUUUUUAUCAGAGGGACUGAAAAGCCUUUCGAGAAUCAGUCAAGAAAAAGGAAUGUGCAUGAGAGUCACGGUGAGUAGCACUUCUCAUCAAACUAGCUGCCCAGGGGUGUUAAAGUGCUUUCUAAAAAGGGAACUAACAGGGCUGCUCACCAUUUACUGUUUUCUAAGAGCCUUAGCUAAAUUAAUCAUAGCACACACCAGCCCUGUAAGGUAAAAUGAUUCCUGGUGUUUUGAAAGCAAUCAGCGAUCUACAAAAAGGGAGGUAAUGUCCCCCAGAACCAAGAUUAAAACUCCGACGUUGAGGGAAUCUCCAUUCCCUUCCUGUCAUCAAAGGCCAGCUUGUUUGUGUCCAAGCAGGGUCUUGGGUGAGCCAAGCUCUGUUAAAGUGGCCACAGGAAUGAGAGGCCACCACACAAGUGAGGAUACUGGAGACAGUCCGUCUUCUGGGGCUGUGUGAAUGCAAGUUUAGUCGUGGGGGCUGUCACAUUAUAAGUGGACAGGUGUG
rnacentral:lncRNA from 1 species